ensembl:lncRNA
AGUUCCUUUGCUUUUGCAAAGUUUUUACAAAUUCUGCAACUUUUCAGCUUUUUCUGCUAGUUUCAGCAGACAGCUUCAGCAUUACAGCAUCCACACUGCAUUUUCGCAGGAAAUGCAAAUUUUUCUAGUUAAUAUUAAAAUUAAUAAAUGACAGAUUUAGUGAUAUUUUCAUAAACACCUCCUUUCCUUUUUUUUGUUCUCCAUUUUCUUUAGUUCGUCUAUAAGAUUGCUAAACAAGGGGGAGGGUGCAUCCGGCCUCCUCGGCUGUAAUUGGUCCAGCCCAGAGUCGAUCAUGACCAAUUGGCCAAUCCAACACCUUUCAUUAUAUAUACCCUUCCUAAAAAAAAAAAAAAAAAAAAAAAAAAUCCAUCGGCCCAUAAAAACAAAAAAUCGCCAAUCGCCAGUCCAGCUAUGGCGGGGCUAUGGCCCUCUACACCCUCUAGCAGAGCAUUACAUGGGGAAACCUUUUGAAUACAAGCGGGCUGAUCCACACAGGUGUGCACACGGGUGUUCACUGUUCACAGACAUAAACUACACCUCUAUUGUUAUGCUGAGUGAACGGACUCUAUGGCAGAAUACACAGAAGCGCAGAAAAUGCAGGGAGUGCUCUUUAUUUACUGUGUCAAACUUAUUUACACGGGAUGAGAUAAUACUGAUGAAUAAACAGAGGGAAACCAGGGCAGGAGGCUGACACGCAUUCGGAGGGAAAGGGGUUACCCGCGCACGCAGGGUGGAUCUAUGAGAAAAAGAAAAAAGAAACUUUAGGGGGAGAUGCCAAACCACUGGUAAGAAACAGCAAUAAACAUGGGGAGAGUUGGAGAGCUCACUUGUCACACUGGCUGUACAGGCUCGGGCGAGGAGUCUCGGGAUGUGGGAGAAACGCUGUGAUUGAUCUCCGUAGUGAUCCCGGAAAUGUGGCUUCAAAAACAGCUGACAGGUAAGCGGGUGAUGGAUCCGGCUGAGGAUACAGGACAACAGGUAAGCAAACAAAAUCCAAGACAUAGGUUGUGUCAUGGUCCGACAGCCCUUGCCUGGCUGCCUGCCCGUGCGUUAUUGUGUGCAUGUUGCGCUCUUCCUUUCUCUCCCAUUUUCUCUCUCUCUCUCUCUCGUAACGGGGUUGUUUACCUCCGAGCGGUGACGAGCAUUCCCGAGAGUGUUCCCGCGCUGAGUCUGACCGCACCUGUUGUUGAUCGGAGCCGACCAGCUGUAACCAAUUAUCCGCCAUCUCCCGGGCUGCCUUCUUAACAGGGCGAUCGAGCUUCAGUCAGCGCUGGAUCAUUGUGUGAAGCACGGAGGGAAACGGAGAGAGAGAUCACGGGAGCUGGACCGCCUUUUGGGAUUUCUGUUUGGAAGGAGUCACUGCGUGUGUUUUCACUUCACGGCCAUGAGCACUGCUAGGAGGAGGAGGAGAAGGAGGAGACCACACCGGG